CAGUCGCCGCGGUAAUACAGAGGGUGCAAGCGUUAAUCGGAAUUACUGGGCGUAAAGCGCGCGUAGGUGGUUUGUUAAGUUGGAUGUGAAAGCCCCGGGCUCAACCUGGGAACUGCAUCCAAAACUGGCAAGCUAGAGUACGGUAGAGGGUGGUGGAAUUUCCUGUGUAGCGGUGAAAUGCGUAGAUAUAGGAAGGAACACCAGUGGCGAAGGCGACCACCUGGACUGAUACUGACACUGAGGUGCGAAAGCGUGGGGAGCAAACAGGAUUAGAUACCCGAGUAGUCCCUGUCUCUUAUAC
rnacentral:rRNA from 1 species